rnacentral:rRNA from 1 species
CUUGGUCAUUUAGAGGAAGUAAAAGUCGUAACAAGGUCUCCGUUGGUGAACCAGCGGAGGGAUCAUUACAGAGUUCUAAAAGACUCCCAAAACCAUUGUGAACGUACCCGUCAGCGUUGCCUCGGCGGGCGGCCCCUCCCUGGGGCCGCUGCCUCCCUCGGGGGGUGCCCGCCGGCGUACCAAAACUCUUUUGUAUUUUAGUGGCCUCUCUGAGAAAACAAGCAAAUAAGUUAAAACUUUCAACAACGGAUCUCUUGGUUCUGGCAUCGAUGAAGAACGCAGCGAAAUGCGAUAAGUAAUGUGAAUUGCAGAAUUCAGUGAAUCAUCGAAUCUUUGAACGCACAUUGCGCCCGCCAGUACUCUGGCGGGCAUGCCUGUUCGAGCGUCAUUUCAACCCUCAAGCCCCGCUUGGUGUUGGGGUCCUACGGCUGCCGUAGGCCCUGAAAGCUAGUGGCGGGCUCGCUAUAACUCCGAGCGUAGUAGUAAAAUAUCUCGCUAGGGAGGUGUCGCGGGUUCCGGCCGUGAAAGCCCAUCUUUUACACAAGGUUGACCUCGGAUCAGGUAGGAAUACCCGCUGAACUUAAGCAUAUCAAUAAGCGGAGGA